CUCGCACGCACGAGGAGUCUUUCUCCGAGCACCGUUCCGGCGAGCGUGUUCCUCGGUUGCUCUAAUUUUCGGAAUAUGCGGGGCUUGUCGCAGCAAUAAAAUAGCGAACAUCACACUAAAAGACGUAAAGAAAGAAGGAAACCUGCUCGUUGUAAGUCUCCCGAACACAAAAACGAAGAAACCUCGUACCUUCGUCAUUACAGCAGAAUUCGCAAAAGUCGUACAACAAUACACAGACCUGCGUCCACAAAAUGCAUCGACCGAUCGCUUUUUUCUGAAUUUCCAAGAAGGCAAAUGUACUUCUCAAGUUAUCGGCAUACAUAAAUUUUCUAAAAUGCCAAAAGAAAUUGGCCGCGUAUUUGAAAUUGGAUGACCCGGCGAGUUACACAGGACACGCGUUUCGCAGAACCUCUGCAACAUUGCUUGCAGACAGCGGGGCCAACAUCACGACGUUGAAGCGUCACACGGUGGAUGGAAAUUGAGCAACGUUGCAGAAGGCUAUAUCGAGGAGUCCGUAAAAAAAAAAAGUCGAAAAUUGGUAACAUUUUAUCAACGGCGGUCAAUUUUGCCUCAGCUGAACCUUUUGAAGAAAAUACCAAUGCUCCACCGCGAAAACAUCAAAAAGUUGAAACGAUUAUGUCCUGAAAAACAAUACAGAAACGUAGUUGACCGUGGUGACUGACAAAAAUUCGCCAAUGAAACGAAAUUUUGUAUUCAGCAACUGUACUGUUGUCAUAAAUCAAAACACAGUUGACCAUGGUCACUGACAAACAUUCGCUAAUGAAACAAAAUUUUUUAUUCAACAACUGUAUGCUGUUGUCAUAAAUCAAAAGUGAAUAUUGAAAUUAAAAAACUUGACGUAUAUGAAUAA